rnacentral:lncRNA from 1 species
GAGACAAUAUAAGGACAUUGGAAGAAGGGAGUCUAGCUCUUGCUCUUGCUCCUUCGCCUGCUUGCUGCGUGAGACUGAGUAACUGCUAGAUCCUUGGACUUCCAUUCACAGCUGCGACUGAACAAUUGUUGGGAAUUGGGCUGCCGACUAAAUACAAAAUCCAGUUAUGUAGCCCAGACUGCCCUAAAAUUCUCUAUAUAGGCCAGGAUAGCCUCAACUCUCAGAUUUACAAUCCUGCUCAACAAAGGAUGCUCUCCCAUGCCUUUCCUAAUCUCAUUCUUUGUCCAUGUUUUAUUUAUUUUUAAAAAUAAAGACCCCCAAACCAUGA